GGACGAACGCUGGCGGCGUGCUUAACACAUGCAAGUCGAACGAUGAAGAAAAGAAUCGAAGCUUCGGCAGAAAUUCAUUUCGGAUUAGUGGCAGACGGGUGAGUAACGCGUGAGCAACCUACCUCUUACAAAGGGAUAGCCUCGGGAAACCGGGAUUAAUACCAUAUAACAUUGUGACGAAGCAUUUCGAUGCAAUCAAAGCUACGGCGGUAAGAGAUGGGCUCGCGUCCCAUUAACCGGAUGGUGAGGUAACGGCUCACCAUAGUGACGAUGGGUAACCGGCCUGAGAGGGUGAACGGUCACACUGGAACUGAGACACGGUCCAGACUCCUACGGGAGGCAGCAGUGGGGAAUAUUGCACAAUGGAGGGAACUCUGAUGCAGCGACGCCGCGUGAGUGAUGAAGGAAUUCGUUUCGUAAAACUCUGUUCUAUGGGAAGAAAAGGACUGUACCAUAGGAGAAAGCUCCGGCUAAAUACGUG
rnacentral:rRNA from 1 species